GGUAAGCCGGUUCCGAUUUCGCUAAAAAAUGUUUAUGCUCUAAGCGCAUGAACGGCGAUAUCAAUGAUCCCUCUCGUAUUCCGUGCUUCAAUUUAAUAUGCCUUUUCAAAUUAUCGGAUCUCGUUAACGAUAUCAUGCAGAUUUGGCACUGAUAUUUAUCGGGGAAAUGCGAUUUCAUGUGCUUUUUUAUGUUCGCUACGCUCUUGCCACAAAGCUUACAACACUCCGUACCGAGGUUGGAGUGUUCUAGCUUCGACUGACUCUCUUUACUUAUAUCCUUCUCUUUUUUGCAAGUUCCUGAUGUUCCUGGAAUUACAAGAUCCCGUUUCAAUUAAAUUGCUUAGGCGACUAAUUAUGAUUACCGACAAUCUCUACCAGACUCAUGAUAAGUAUCACACUCUACGGUCAAGUCAAAUAGGUUGCAGAAAAGAGGGGAUUCUCAAUUAAUUACGUUCUCCAAUCAAUAUUACGAUGAUAUCAUUACGAAACACCACACUCGUAUAUAGUAAUAUUACGCAUGUCUAGAAAUGCCUACUCGUAACCAAAGAUAUAAAUAUAAAACGUUCAUAUCACGUAAAGAAGAAAAACAAAAAACGCACACCUACGAUCUCAUCAUCGUCAAGAAUAACAAUACAAAAACGCAAAGCUAAACACAACACGUCGUCACACAACCGACGAGAGCAAACCAACAUCGAGAAAAGAGAAAAAGAGAGAGAGAGAGAGA
rnacentral:misc_RNA from 1 species